UGCCCAGUUUGUAUAUAGAGACCAGGUC
rnacentral:piRNA from 1 species